rnacentral:tRNA from 1 species
AAAGAGUCUCAGUAGUAUAACUAAUACACUGGUCUUGUAAACCGGAGA